ensembl:lncRNA
AUGAUUUCUGAAGAUCAUGUGACACUGAAGACUGGAGUAAUGAUGCUGAAAAUACAGCUGCGCAUCACAGAAAUAAAUUACACUUUAACAGAUUCACAGAGAAAACAGCUGUUUUACAGUAGAAUAAUAUUUCACUGUUUCUACAGUAAUUUUGAUCAAAUAAAUGCAGCACUGGUGAGCAGAAGAGACUCUUCCAGAGUUUUUAAAACAUUUCCUCCACACAUGUGUCUUGGUCGGUGCAGCUGUAUGUCGGUCGGUGCAGCUGUAUGUCGGUCGGUGCAGCUGUGUCUCGGUCGGUGCAGCUGUAUGUCGGUCGGUGCAGCUGCGUCUCGGUCGGUGCAGCUGUAUGUCGGUCGGUGCAGCUGCGUCUCGGUCGGUGCAGCUGUAUGUCGGUCGGUGCAGCUGCGUCUCGGUCGGUGCAGCUGUAUGUCGGUCGGUGCAGCUGCGUCUCGGUCGGUGCAGCUGUAUGUCGGUCGGUGCAGCUGCGUCUCGGUCGGUGCAGCUGUAUGUCGGUCGGUGCAGCUGCGUCUCGGUCGGUGCAGCUGUAUGUCGGUCGGUGCAGCUGCGUCUCGGUCGGUGCAGCUGUAUGUCGGUCGGUGCAGCUGCGUCUCGGUCGGUGCAGCUGUAUGUCGGUCGGUGCAGCUGCGUCUCGGUCGGUGCAGCUGUAUGUCGGUCGGUGCAGCUGCGUCUCGGUCGGUGCAGCUGUAUGUCGGUCGGUGCAGCUGCGUCUCGGUCGGUGCAGCUGUAUGUCGGUCGGUGCAGCUGCGUCUCGGUCGGUGCAGCUGUAUGUCGGUCGGUGCAGCUGCGUCUCGGUCGGUGCAGCUGUAUGUCGGUCGGUGCAGCUGCGUCUCGGUCGGUGCAGCUGUAUGUCGGUCGGUGCAGCUGCGUCUCGGUCGGUGCAGCUGUAUGUCGGUCGGUGCAGCUGCGUCUCGGUCGGUGCAGCUGUAUGUCGGUCGGUGCAGCUGCGUCUCGGUCGGUGCAGCUGUAUGUCGGUCGGUGCAGCUGCGUCUCGGUCGGUGCAGCUGUAUGUCGGUCGGUGCAGCUGCGUCUCGGUCGGUGCAGCUGUAUGUCGGUCGGUGCAGCUGCGUCUCGGUCGGUGCAGCUGUAUGUCGGUCGGUGCAGCUGCGUCUCGGUCGGUGCAGCUGUAUGUCGGUCGGUGCAGCUGCGUCUCGGUCGGUGCAGCUGUAUGUCGGUCGGUGCAGCUGCGUCUCGGUCGGUGCAGCUGUAUGUCGGUCGGUGCAGCUGCGUCUCGGUCGGUGCAGCUGUAUGUCGGUCGGUGCAGCUGCGUCUCGGUCGGUGCAGCUGUAUGUCGGUCGGUGCAGCUGCGUCUCGGUCGGUGCAGCUGUAUGUCGGUCGGUGCAGCUGCGUCUCGGUCGGUGCAGCUGUAUGUCGGUCGGUGCAGCUGCGUCUCGGUCGGUGCAGCUGUAUGUCGGUCGGUGCAGCUGCGUCUCGGUCGGUGCAGCUGUAUGUCGGUCGGUGCAGCUGCGUCUCGGUCGGUGCAGCUGUAUGUCGGUCGGUGCAGCUGCGUCUCGGUCGGUGCAGCUGUAUGUCGGUCGGUGCAGCUGCGUCUCGGUCGGUGCAGCUGUAUGUCGGUCGGUGCUGGUGAUUCAGGGAGUCUGGAUCUGUGUGCUGUUUCUCAGCGGCGUCCAAACCUCCGUGUUUCAGUAG